rnacentral:rRNA from 1 species
GGGCGUCCCGAUGUCCUCUUCGGCCGCCAUUCAACGAUCGGCUCAGAACUGGCACGGACUAGGGGAAUCCGACUGUCUAAUUAA